rnacentral:rRNA from 1 species
CAGUACCGUGAGGGAAAGGCGAAAAGAACCCCGGCGAGGGGAGUGAAAAAGAACCUGAAACCGUGUACGUACAAGCAGUGGGAGCACGCUUCGGCGUGUGACUGCGUACCUUUUGUAUAAUGGGUCAGCGACUUAUAUUCUGUAGCAAGGUUAACCGAAUAGGGGAGCCGAAGGGAAACCGAGUCUUAACUGGGCGUUAAGUUGCAGGGUAUAGACCCGAAACCCGGUGAUCUAGCCAUGGGCAGGUUGAAGGUUGGGUAACACUAACUGGAGGACCGAACCGACUAAUGUUGAAAAAUUAGCGGAUGACUUGUGGCUGGGGGUGAAAGGCCAAUCAAACCGGGAGAUAGCUGGUUCUCCCCGAAAGCUAUUUAGGUAGCGCCUCGUGAAUUCAUCUCCGGGGGUAGAGCACUGUUUCGGCAAGGGGGUCAUCCCGACUUACCAACCCGAUGCAAACUGCGAAUACCGGAGAAUGUUAUCACGGGAGACACACGGCGGGUGCUAACGUCCGUCGUGAAGAGGGAAACAACCCAGACCGCCAGCUAAGGUCCCAAAGUCAUGGUUAAGUGGGAAACGAUGUGGGAAGGCCCAGACAGCCAGGAUGUUGGCUUAGAAGCAGCCAUCAUUUAAAGAAAGCGUAAUAGCUCACUGGUCGAGUCGGCCUGCGCGGAAGAUGUAACGGGGCUAAACCAUGCACCGAAGCUGCGGCAGCGACACUAUGUGUUGUUGGGUAGGGGAGCGUUCUGUAAGCCUGUGAAGGUGUGCUGUGAGGCAUGCUGGAGGUAUCAGAAGUGCGAAUGCUGACAUAAGUAACGAUAAAGCGGGUGAAAAGCCCGCUCGCCGGAAGACCAAGGGUUCCUGUCCAACGUUAAUCGGGGCAGGGUGAGUCGACCCCUAAGGCGAGGCCGAAAGGCGUAGUCGAUGGGAAACAGGUUAAUAUUCCUGUACUUGGUGUUACUGCGAAGGGGGGACGGAGAAGGCUAUGUUGGCCGGGCGACGGUUGUCCCGGUUUAAGCGUGUAGGCUGGUUUUCCAGGCAAAUCCGGAAAAUCAAGGCUGAGGCGUGAUGACGAGGCACUACGGUGCUGAAGCAACAAAUGCCCUGCUUCCAGGAAAAGCCUCUAAGCAUCAGGUAACAUCAAAUCGUACCCCAAACCGACACAGGUGGUCAGGUAGAGAAUACCAAGGCGCUUGAGAGAACUCGGGUGAAGGAACUAGGCAAAAUGGUGCCGUAACUUCGGGAGAAGGCACGCUGAUAUGUAGGUGAAGUCCCUUGCGGAUGGAGCUGAAAUCAGUCGAAGAUACCAGCUGGCUGCAACUGUUUAUUAAAAACACAGCACUGUGCAAACACGAAAGUGGACGUAUACGGUGUGACGCCUGCCCGGUGCCGGAAGGUUAAUUGAUGGGGUUAGCGGUAACGCGAAGCUCUUGAUCGAAGCCCCGGUAAACGGCGGCCGUAACUAUAACGGUCCUAAGGUAGCGAAAUUCCUUGUCGGGUAAGUUCCGACCUGCACGAAUGGCGUAAUGAUGGCCAGGCUGUCUCCACCCGAGACUCAGUGAAAUUGAACUCGCUGUGAAGAUGCAGUGUACCCGCGGCAAGACGGAAAGACCCCGUGAACCUUUACUAUAGCUUGACACUGAACAUUGAGCCUUGAUGUGUAGGAUAGGUGGGAGGCUUUGAAGUGUGGACGCCAGUCUGCAUGGAGCCGACCUUGAAAUACCACCCUUUAAUGUUUGAUGUUCUAACGUUGGCCCCUGAUCGGGGUUGCGGACAGUGUCUGGUGGGUAGUUUGACUGGGGCGGUCUCCUCCUAAAGAGUAACGGAGGAGCACGAAGGUUGGCUAAUCCUGGUCGGACAUCAGGAGGUUAGUGCAAUGGCAUAAGCCAGCUUGACUGCGAGCGUGACGGCGCGAGCAGGUGCGAAAGCAGGUCAUAGUGAUCCGGUGGUUCUGAAUGGAAGGGCCAUCGCUCAACGGAUAAAAGGUACUCCGG